rnacentral:ncRNA from 1 species
UUAUUUACUAUGAAGAGAAGAGUAAACUUAGGAAGUAACUCUCAGCGAGCAGAUUAUGGUGUGAGUUCUGCAGUGUAUCCUAUUUUGAAGAACAUCUCUGAGUUUCUAACCGAAAUCCCUUUUAGGAGAGUAGACUUAGACGGUUUCAGGCCGUUAUACUUGAAGAACAUUUUUGUGUUCAUAAAGCCGGCUAUUUUAUAGCAAUUUGGGUGGUACCGCGAAUAAUGCCAUUCGUCCCAUUA